UACGUAGGUGGCAAGCGUUUGUCCGGAAUUAUUGGGCGUAAAGAGCGCGUAGGCGGUUCUUUUAAGUCAGAUGUGAAAUCCCGAGGCUCAACUUCGGGCGUGCAUUUGAAACUGGGGGACUAGAGUGCAGAAGGGGCAAUCGGAAUUCUUGGUGUAGCGGUGAAAUGCGUAGAUAUCAGGAGGAACACCUGUGGUGUAGACGGCUCUCUGGACCGCAACUGACGCUGAGACACGAAAAGCGUGGGGAGCGAACAGG
rnacentral:rRNA from 1 species